AGCGAACGCUGGCGGCAGGCUUAACACAUGCAAGUCGAACGGGCGUAGCAAUACGUCAGUGGCAGACGGGUGAGUAACGCGUGGGAACGUACCUUUUGGUUCGGAACAACCCAGGGAAACUUGGGCUAAUACCGGAUAAGCCCUUACGGGGAAAGAUUUAUCGCCGAAAGAUCGGCCCGCGUCUGAUUAGCUAGUUGGUGUGGUAACGGCGCACCAAGGCGACGAUCGGUAGCUGGUCUGAGAGGAUGAUCAGCCACAUUGGGACUGAGACACGGCCCAAAACUCCUACGGGAGGCAGCAGUGGGGAAUAUUGGACAAUGGGCGCAAGCCUGAUCCAGCCAUGCCGCGUGAGUGAUGAAGGCCCUAGGGUUGUAAACCUCUGUCACCGGGGAAGAAACGCUUCAAGUUAAUAGCUUGAAGCCUGACUUAACCCCGGAGAGGAAGCAGUGGCUAACUCUGUGCCAGCAGCCGCUGUAAG
rnacentral:rRNA from 1 species